UCAGGGAAACCGUUGGUCUACCCAAUUUUCUUUCUUUAUCAUCCUUCUAUUUUCGUUACUCUUCCUGCCACCGUGUAGGGCAAGCCUUCCAAUUUGGUGCUUUCAUUGUCCUCCCAUGGCGGAACACAGCCGCUCAGAGGAUCUUGACGCGGCCAUUAACCAGCGUGAUAUGAACGCUCGAUUAGAGAGGUUGGAGUCUUCUCUUGAUGGAAUCACUCGUGCCAUCGGAGUCUCCGGUUCCGAUUCCGACGCUCAACAGUGGAUUAUUGCAGCAGAGGUUGAGGAAAGAAAAGGGAGCAAAAGACCAUGAAAAGAAAGAAGAGGCUCACCUUUACGUCAUUAUAAUGGCGGCAUGACAUGAAGAUCCUACACAACAGAUUGGAAGAUAUGUAUAUUUUGAUCUUGUAGACUAUGGCAAAGUGAAACGCUUUCGUGUGAAAAAGCAGACGCUUUUUAACCAGUUCAAGGCUGGGGUUGCAAGAGAGUUUGGCGUCCCACUGCAAUUUCUACGCUUUCGGCUUUGGGCAAGGCGUCCAAACCAAACUUA